GACGAACCGAGCGAACGUUGUUCGGAAUCACUGGGCUUAAAGGGCGCGUAGGCGGGUGCUCAAGUCCGUGGUGAAAUCCUCAGGCUCAACCGGAGAACUGCCUCGGAUACUGGGCGUCUCGAGUGUGGUAGGGGUAUGCGGAACUAUCGGUGGAGCGGUGAAAUGCGUUGAUAUCGAUAGGAACUCCGGUGGCGAAGGCGGCAUACUGGACCACCACUGACGCUGAUGCGCGAAAGCCAGGGGAGCGAACGGG
rnacentral:rRNA from 1 species